rnacentral:misc_RNA from 1 species
GUUCGAGCGUCAUUAUAAUAACCACUCAAGCCUAGCUUGGUAUUGGGGUUCGCGGUCCUGCGGCCCUUAAAAUCAGUGGCGGUGCCGCCUGGCGCUAAGCGUAGUAAUUCUCUCGCUAUAGUGCCCGGGCGGUUACUUGCCAGAAUCCCCCCACUCUCACGGUUGACCUCGGAUCAGGUAGGGAUACCCGCUGAACUUAA